rnacentral:rRNA from 1 species
GAUGAACGCUAGCUACAGGCUUAACACAUGCAAGUCGAGGGGCAUCGGGAAGAAAGCUUGCUUUCUUUGCCGGCGACCGGCGCACGGGUGAGUAACACGUAUCCAACCUGCCGAUAACUCGGGGAUAGCCUUUCGAAAGAAAGAUUAAUAUCCGAUAGUAUAUUAAAACCGCAUGGUUUUACUAUUAAAGAAUUUCGGUUAUCGAUGGGGAUGCGUUCCAUUAGUUUGUUGGCGGGGUAACGGCCCACCAAGACUACGAUGGAUAGGGGGUUCUGAGAGGAAGGUCCCCCCACAUUGGAACUGAGACACGGUCCAAACUCCUACGGGAGGCAGCAGUGAGGAAUAUUGGUCAAUGGGACGAGAGUCUGAACCAGCCAAGUAGCGUGAAGAAUGACUGCCCUAUGGGUUGUAAACUUCUUUUAUAUGGGAAUAAAGUAUUCCACGUGUGGG